rnacentral:rRNA from 1 species
GUGGGGAAUAUUGGACAAUGGGCGAAAGCCUGAUCCAGCCAUGCCGCGUGUGUGAAGAAGGUCUUCGGAUUGUAAAGCACUUUAAGUUGGGAGGAAGGGCAGUAAGUUAAUACCUUGCUGUUUUGACGUUACCGACAGAAUAAGCACCGGCUAACUUCGUGCCAGCAGCCGCGGUAAUACGAAGGGUGCAAGCGUUAAUCGGAAUUACUGGGCGUAAAGCGCGCGUAGGUGGUUUUGUAAGUUGGAGGUGAAAUCCCCGGGCUCAACCGGGGAAGUGCCUCCAAAACUGCAUGACUAGAGUACGGUAGAGGGUAGUGGAAUUUCCUGUGUAGCGGUGAAAUGCGUAGAUAUAGGAAGGAACACCAGUGGCGAAGGCGACUACCUGGACUGAUACUGACACUGAGGUGCGAAAGCGUGGGGAGCAAACAGGAUUAGAAACCCUUGUAGUCC